AUUGAACGCUGGCGGCAGGCUUAACACAUGCAAGUCGAACGAGUGGCGGACGGGUGAGUAAUGUCUGGGAAACUGCCUGAUGGAGGGGGAUAACUACUGGAUACGGUAGCUAAUACCGCAUACCAUCAGAUGUGCCCAGAUGGGAUUAGCUUGUUGGUGGGGUAAUGGCUCACCAAGGAGACGAUCCCUAGCUGGUCUGAGAGGAUGACAAGCCACACUGGAACUGAGACACGGUCCAGACUCCUACGGGAGGCAUUAGUGGGGAAUAUUGCACAAUGGGCGCAAGCCUGAUGCAGCCAUGCCGAGUGUAUGAAGAAGGCCUUCGGGUUGUAAAGUACGUUCAGCGGGGAGGCGUUACCCGCAGAAGAAGCACCGGCUAACUCCGUGCCAGCAGCCGCGGUAAUAC
rnacentral:rRNA from 1 species